UUCUGGGAUAGCUCAGUUGGUAGAGCAUGAGAUUCUUAAUCUCAGGGUUGUGGGUUCAAGCCUCACCUUGGACA